rnacentral:rRNA from 1 species
AAAUUGAAGAGUUUGAUCAUGGCUCAGAUUGAACGCUGGCGGCAGGCCUAACACAUGCAAGUCGAACGGUAACAGGAAGCAGCUUGCUGCUUCGCUGACGAGUGGCGGACGGGUGAGUAAUGUCUGGGAAACUGCCUGGUGGAGGGGGAUAACUACUGGAAACGGUAGCUAAUACCGCAUAAUGUCGCAAGACCAAAGAGGGGGACCUUCGGGCCUCUUGCCAUCGGAUGUGCCCAGAUGGGAUUAGCUUGUUGGUGGGGUAACGGCUCACC